rnacentral:rRNA from 1 species
UCCUACGGGAGGCAGCAGUAGGGAAUCUUCCACAAUGGACGAAAGUCUGAUGGAGCAAUGCCGCGUGAGUGAAGAAGGGUUUCGGCUCGUAAAACUCUGUUGUUAAAGAAGAACACCUUUGAGAGUAACUGUUCAAGGGUUGACGGUAUUUAACCAGAAAGCCACGGCUAACUACGUGCCAGCAGCCGCGGUAAUA